GGCAGGGGAGGAGGCUUCCAGAGUCUUGGGAAGCAAGGACAUCGAGGCCUCAUCCCAUCCCGGAAGAAACGCACAGCCAGACCCUGGCACAGCAGGGCUGUGAAGA
rnacentral:lncRNA from 13 species